CCGGAAUUUCCCCGGGAAACGGGACGCCCCACGAGGGGGGGAGAGCCCCCGUUUGGGUUGGCCCACCGAGCCUUUUGUAAAAGUUCCUUUGGACGAAUUCGAGUUAGUUUGGGAAAUGCUGCUCCAAAAUGGGAAGGUAUAUGUUCUUCUAAAAGCUAAAUAUUGGCCCAGAGACCGAUAGCGCCACAAGUAGAGUGAUCGAAAGAUGAAAAGCACCUUGAAAAGAGGGUUAAACAGUACGUGAAAUUGUUGAAAGGGAAGCGCUUGUGACCAGACUUGGGCGCGGCGGAUCAUCCGGGGUUCUCUCCGGUGCACUUCGCCGCGUUCAGGCCAGCAUCAGUUCGUCGCGGGGGAAAAAGGCUUCGGGAACGUGGCUCCUCCGGGAGUGUUAUAGCCCGUUGCAUAAUACCCUGCGGUGGACUGAGGACCGCGCAUCUGCAAGGAUGCUGGCGUAAUGGUCACCAGCGACCCGUCUUGAAACACGGACCAAGGAGUCGUCUUCGUAUGCGAGUGUUCGGGUGUCAAACCCCUACGCGUAAUGAAAGUGAACGCAGGUGAGAGCUUCGGCGCAUCAUCGACCGAUCCUGAUGUUCUCGGAUGGAUUUGAGUAAGAGCAUACGGGGCCGGACCCGAAAGAAGGUGAACUAUGCCUGUAUAGGGUGAAGCCAGAGGAAACUCUGGUGGAGGCUCGCAGCGGUUCUGACGUGCAAAUCGAUCGUCAAAUAUGGGCAUGGGGGCGAAAGACUAAUCGAACCUUCUAGUAGCUGGUUUCCGCCGAAGUUUCCCUCAGGAUAGCAGUGUUGAGCUCAGUUUUAUGAGGUAAAGCGAAUGAUUAGGGACUCGGGGGCGCUAUAUUGCCUUCAUCCAUUCUCAAACUUUAAAUAUGUAAGAAGCCCUUGUUACUUAGUUGAACGUGGGCAUUCGAAUGUAUCAACACUAGUGGGCCAUUUUUGGUAAGCAGAACUGGCGAUGCGGGAUGAACCGAACGCGAGGUUAAGGUGCCAGAGUAGACGCUCAUCAGACACCACAAAAGGCGUUAGUACAUCUUGACAGCAGGACGGUGGCCAUGGAAGUCGGAAUCCGCUAAGGACUGUGUAACAACUCACCUGCCGAAUGUACUAGCCCUGAAAAUGGAUGGCGCUCAAGCGUCUCACCCAUACCUCGCCCUCGGGGUAGAAACGAUGCCCCGAGGAGUAGGCGGACGUGGAGGUCGUGACGAAGCCUAGGGCGGAGCCCGUUCAAAGUUUG
rnacentral:rRNA from 1 species